AUUGAACGCUGGCGGCAUGCCUUACACAUGCAAGUCGAACGGCAGCGGACCUUCGGGUGCCGGCGAGUGGCGAACGGGUGAGUAAUAUAUCGGAACGUACCUUUCAGUGGGGGAUAACGUAGCGAAAGUUACGCUAAUACCGCAUAUUCUGUGAGCAGGAAAGCAGGGGAUCGCAAGACCUUGCGCUGAUUGAGCGGCCGAUAUCAGAUUAGCUAGUUGGUGAGGUAAAGGCUCACCAAGGCGACGAUCUGUAGCGGGUCUGAGAGGAUGAUCAGCCACACUGGGACUGAGACACGGCCCAGACUCCUACGGGAGGCAGCAGUGGGGAAUAUUGGACAAUGGGCGAAAGCCUGAUCCAGCAAUGCCGCGUGAGUGAUGAAGGCCUUAGGGUUGUAAAGCUCUUUUACCAGGGAUGAUAAUGACAGUACCUGGAGAAUAAGCUCCGGCUAACUCCGUGCCAGCAGCCGCGGUAA
rnacentral:rRNA from 1 species